AACGUAGGUCCCGAGCGUUAUCCGGAUUUACUGGGCGUAAAGCGUGUUCAGGCGGUCUAGCAAGUCGGGCAUGAAAUCUCUCGGCUCAACCGGGAGGGGUUGUCCGAUACUGCUGGGCUUGAGGGCAGCAGAGGGUGGUGGAAUUCCGGGUGUAGUGGUGAAAUGCGUAGAUAUCCGGAGGAACACCAGUGGCGAAGGCGGCCACCUGGGCUGUAACUGACGCUCAAACACGAAAGCUAGGGGAGCGAACGGG
rnacentral:rRNA from 1 species